ACUUGUUCCUUAGUAGCUUGCAUGCAGCCCUGUUGCGCUUCUUCAGAAAGUUGCUCCUCAACUCUGUCUGGAAAGCAGUGCAGCGAGCACAGGCCCUCCUCACAUGUCCCGACUGAUUUUACUUAUGAAGCUGGCAAAAGACGGGCACAGGAGAACAAACUAAUGUGCUGACACUCAGAUCUUCUCCCUGGAUUACCCAGAGCAACUUCCAGUGCGGCAGGAGAAAAUGGGAGAAAUUACUGAUCCUCUUCUGCCAGGAGACCUAAAAUCUGCUAGCAGUUACAACUUUGUAGAAAAACUUCCAUCUUUCUCUAGCUCAGCAGAAGACAACUGCACGCUGCUAUAGCCAGCACAAAGCUGGAUUGCGGCUAAAAGAGAAGAAACGUCCUUGACCAAGGUGUUGCAGAUUCUCCCAGCUUCUGAGAAAGGGGAAAACAAAGCUUACCUUGAACUCUUCACAACUUUGUCAGUGUAAAAACACAUUGGAAGAAAAGAUAGGAGCUGCAAACUGCAAACAAGGUGGAACCCAUACUUGU